CCGCCCCCACACGAAGCCUCCGGCGAACCGCGGGCGGGCAGAGGCGGUCCGGGCAGCGAGCGCUCGGCGUCGCUCUGCAGCUUGGUAUUGUCCUGGCGAGAGUCCUCCAGGACUGUCGGGCGCGGCUGGCACCUCGGUCCUCGCGACGGCGGGAACCGGGACUCGGGCUCUGAACCCGAGUGGUGACCGAGGAGCCGGGCCCGGCUCUCCCGGUUGCACGCGGCUGGGUGGACGCCCGCGCGGGGCUCAUGCGCGCGGGUUCCCGACUCCGACCCGCGGGGGGUCGGUACUGAAGAAUUGGGACUGGACCCCCAGCAGCGAGGAGCCUUGAAGGCUGGAGAGAAAGAGUUUCCAUCAUGGAUCUCUCCUGAGGGAAUAUUCCAGAUUUCCUGAGUCGUUUCCAGGUCGAGGUCCUGUAUGCCUCUUCUGUUCUCAGGACCAGUUCCUGUCAGAGUGGGAAGACCUGAUCUUGGAUAUUUGGUUUUGAUCCUUUGUGAAAAGCUGUAAAGACAAAUUUCCACCCCUAGCUGUAAAGAACUCUUGGUGGGAAAUUAUAAUUCCUUUAGGGAGAUUAAAAUCUCAUUUGGAUUACCCUAAAUCCGAGUUUUGGUUGUUAGAAUUUUCUUUAAUGUUCAUGAGAAAGUAUCUUAUAUUUCCCAUGAAGAUUCAUUCUCCUUAGCAGUGAAUUUUGAACUUUGUUUUCUUAAAUGUCCAAAUUAGAUUUUCCCAAGUUUUCUCUCUCUUACUGAUUUCUCACUUAGCAUCAGAGGUAACUUUUAAGCAAAAAGGGCAUAGCAGAGAGAUGACAGUGGAGGGCACCUUCAACACCAUUGUGGAGAUGAGGUUCCUGCUCCAAAAAGAAACAUUCUCACAAUCUCA
rnacentral:lncRNA from 1 species